rnacentral:rRNA from 1 species
ACAAGCGGUGGAGCAUGUGGUUUAAUCGUAAGCAACGCGAAGAACCUUACCAGGCCUUGACAUGCAGAGAACUUUCCAGAGAUGGAUUGGUGCCUUCGGGAACUCUGACACAGGUGCUGCAUGGCUGUCGUCAGCUCGUGUCGUGAGAUGUUGGGUUAAGUCCCGUAACGAGCGCAACCCUUGUCCUUAGUUACCAGCACGUUAUGGUGGGCACUCUAAGGAGACUGCCGGUGACAAACCGGAGGAAGGUGGGGAUGACGUCAAGUCAUCAUGCCCCUUAUGAUCUGGGCUACACACGUGCUACAAUGGCCGGUACAACGGGCAGCGAAGGAGCGAUCCGGAGCGAAUCCUAAAAAGCCGGUCCCAGUUCGGAUUGCAGGCUGAAACUCGCCUACAUGAAGUUGGAGUUGCUAGUAAUCGCGAAUCAGAAUGUCGCGGUGAAUGCGUUCCCGGGUCUU